rnacentral:rRNA from 1 species
GAUGAACGCUGGCGGCGUGCUUAACACAUGCAAGUCGAACGAUGAAGCCCAGCUUGCUGGGUGGAUUAGUGGCGAACGGGUGAGUAACACGUGAGUAACCUGCCCUUAACUCUGGGAUAAGCCUGGGAAACUGGGUCUAAUACCGGAUAGGAGCGUCCACCGCAUGGUGGGUUUUGGAAAGAUUUAUCGGUUUUGGAUGGACUCGCGGCCUAUCAGCUUGUUGGUGAGGUAAUGGCUCACCAAGGCGAUGACGGGUAGCCGGCCUGAGAGGGUGACCGGCCACACUGGGACUGAGACACGGCCCAGACUCCUACGGGAGGCAGCAGUGGGGAAUAUUGCACAAUGGGCGCAAGCCUGAUGCAGCGACGCCGCGUGAGGGAUGACGGCCUUCGGGUUAUAAACCUCUUUCUGUAGGGAAGAAGCGAAAGUGACGGUACCUGCAGAAGAAGCACCGGCUAACUACGUG